rnacentral:pre_miRNA from 1 species
GAGUGUUCCACGGUUGUCAUGCUUAACACUUGUGCAUGAACCCGGUGGAACCAUUCGG